UGGUGAGGUAAUGGCUCACCAAGGCGACGAUCCGUAACUGGUCUGAGAGGAUGAUCAGUCACACUGGAACUGAGACACGGUCCAGACUCCUACGGGAGGCAGCAGUGGGGAAUAUUGGACAAUGGGCGAAAGCCUGAUCCAGCCAUGCCGCGUGUGUGAAGAAGGUCUUCGGAUUGUAAAGCACUUUAAGUUGGGAGGAAGGGCUGUAGGCUAAUAUCCUGCGGUUUUGACGUUACCAACAGAAUAAGCACCGGCUAACUUCGUGCCAGCAGCCGCGGUAAUACGAAGGGUGCAAGCGUUAAUCGGAAUUACUGGGCGUAAAGCGCGCGUAGGUGGUUCGUUAAGUUGGAUGUGAAAGCCCCGGGCUCAACCUGGGAACUGCAUCCAAAACUGGCGAGCUAGAGUACGGUAGAGGGUAGUGGAAUUUCCUGUGUAGCGGUGAAAUGCGUAGAUAUAGGAAGG
rnacentral:rRNA from 2 species